CCCCUGCCGGCGGCCCCGGGACCCCGCCGGCACCUUCCCGCGGGGCUGCGGGGAGAAGGGGGGGUGGGAGGGGGGGGUGGAGAGGGAAAGGGGGAGUGGUGGGACCGCAGCUCUCCGCCGAGCAUCCCUCUGGCUGGAGCUGGAUUUUAAAACAAUAAAAUCCACCGCUGCUAUCUCGCUCGCUCCCCCCCCCCCCCCCCCCCCCCCAUCCCGUUCCCCUCCCCGCCACACUGCAGCCCGCAGCCGCCCGUGGAAAUCGCACGCCCCGCGUCUGCGUGGAGGCAGGCGGACCGCCCGGCUCCUGCCCGCCGUGACUUUAGAGCUGACGAUCUCCUCUCCUCGACCCCCACCCCUCCACACCCACCCCCUGCUCGAUGGCAGAGCCGCUGCCUCUCGCACCAGACUAUAUUUGCAAUAUGUGCUAAUUUACCAGCUAGAUGCCCUUGGAUUUUAAAAUGAACUCAUCAGUCAACGUUUCUAGGACCGAUGCUGCUCUCUCCUCACACACACCCUCCACUGCAGACAUGUUACUCAUUCUCCAAGCAUUUCCUCCCCGAAUGUCCGUCAGACGUAUAUACACUUCAUUGAUCAAACCAAAUCCCUUGAUAACAAUAAAUAAUAAUACAGACAGUUAACAUCAGCGGGGAGCGGGGCGGGGGGGGGGGGGGAGACAAAGAUGACGACUAAAUCUGCAUUGUGCUCUGCAGGGCUGAUGCCUGCAGGGAUGCAGAACGCAGGUACGCCCCUAAGGACGGGCACAGCCCCGGCCAGAACGCACCACCUGAGACCCCCCCGCACCCCGAGCCACGGGGCGGGGGGCACCGAUCAUACCCAGAACCGGACCCUAUCCAGGCUGCCUGUGUGGGAACCGCAGGGGAGAAAGCACCUAAAGCCGCCACGGAAAUAAAUAAAUAAGGCAGCUCCUUUGUUAGGCUGUGCGCUGCGCAGGUGCUCAGCACUGCAGCGUUAAGGGCAUCCGUGCGGCCAGAGAUCCCGGGGCCGCACAGUGGGAUUUUCAGAAUCAUCUUCGUUCCCACUUACAUCAAUUUCCUUUGUGCCGCAGACAGCGAGCCCCAGUGUGAGACACCAGGUUAGGAGGCCAGGCUAUUCAAUAUCCCUCUGUUCUAUGCCAGGUAUUUCACAGGCUUUGGUUUCGGGGCUCUCGGGGCUUUAUUUCCUAUUUCCCUGGGGCUAAAACGGGGCAGGCAGGACAAGCUGCCUCCUGGGAUUUUGGCUGGCUCGGCGUCUUGUGUGGGUCUGGCAAAGAGAAAGUGACUGCAGUGUAAGUGUUCGGGAAGUUGGGGAGGGUGGGGCUAUCUAGAAAUCUUUGACUCACUGGGGUAACUCCCUGAACGCAGGAAUUAAAUUAUUACUCAAAGCGAGCUACAUUUUACGAGCAGCAGCCCUGGAAUGAGAUUCUGCAUGCACACAGAGUUCGAAACAACUAAAAUAAACAUAUGGAAAUACAUAUACAAUGCAUAAUUCAAUUAUUGGGUGCAAUGCAGAAGUCCCUGAGUGACAGAGGAGGGGGAAUUAUGCAGUAAAGGCAGCCCAGGAAUCCAUGCAUACAAAUUUUCUCAUUUAUACCGACACAACCCCGACUGACACCAGCCUAGAUAGGGGAAGAAUCACUCUAUGUACUGAGGGAUCUAAUCUUUGGGAAAAGCAGAGGAUGAGAGAGACUGUAUCCGCCAGCCAUCCUCUCUCUCCCCUUACAGAUUCCAUCCCCAGCACCAUAGCUGCGUGCAAGAUGUUGCCAUCACAGAGGACCAUUUACAUCCAUUGUCUUUUCUGUGUUCCCCUUUUCCUUCCAACAACAAAAAAAGUUUUUUUUUUUCCUAAGUUUUGCUGCAAACACAUAAUUUCUUUACACAAUUUAACCAAGUCUUUGGAGGAUACUUAUUUCAAGCAGUUAACACCUGACCCCAAUUUUUGUGGGUAAUUAGUGAGCUAGAUAACCACACAAAGUGGGUAAUUAUUUAGUACCCAAGGGUACUGUACAAGAGGGUAGAGGCUGGCAAUGUUAACAAAAGCACAUCUCUAAUUAUUGUAUCUAUACUGGUGAUGUUUUAAGAAUAGUUACUCCAUCUAAUGAUCCAUGAUAAAUCAGUAAACUAUUUUGCUUCCCUUAGCAUAUAUGCCUGGUCUAAUGAAGGGCACAGCAGAGCCAAGCCCCAGCUCUGGACCACGUGCAGACACCAAGAGAACCAAAAGGCGUCCAGCUGGAGGAGUCAAUGCAAUGGGCAGAGCUAGCAGCAUGGCUGGGAGCUCACAGGUUAGUUAAGGACUGGAAAAGCCACACAGGGAGAUGUUUGCAGAGCGUGCCUACCUCUUGCUUAGGCCGUGUGGCCACUCUGGGCAUCUCUGCACACAGCAAGAAUCCCAAUCGUGUUGUAACACAGUUCUGUCUUGCUUAUUGCAAAUGGCACCACAAGUGGGCUGCUCUGCGCCUUGUGGAAGGUCAGGGCUGUAAGGCAAGAGGGUAGCACUGAAAGAAAACCCAACCCCACAGCUAAAUCACGUUUGAUGAAUUCCAAUUAUUUGCCAUCCACGGUAUUUAAAUUUCAAAAAAGCACUUUUCUCCCAUGGAAAAUAUUACAUUCUCAGUAGAUGUUCUUCACAGAUUUAAGAAGGAAGGGAUGGGAACUAUUUUGCAGCGAUGGCUAAAUAAGGAAAAUUCAGCUACCAAAAAAAGAAAAAAAAAUAAGUUUUGAUCAUGAGAACCAAGUGAAAAGAAGAGUUAUGCUGGAAACAGAUUGGUAAUCUUAAGCACAGCGGUCACUACCCACUGACCACUGUCUGCAGCAUUACACACUCUUAAGGACAUCUUCAAGACAUUACGCCCAGCAGCAAGGCACUUUCCUUUUUUAAUUGCUUUUAUGAAUCAUCGCUAACAUCCGGACACUAUUUACUAGAGUCCAGCAACCUUGUUUUUCAAGGACUUAAACUGCAGCACCUAAGGGCCUCCAGGCUGGCACAGAGAAACCGAGGCGUCAUCCUCUUGUGGUCAUAGACAUGCAUUUAACUCUGCUUGGGACCGUGCAAGCCAGGCACUAUAGAAGAAAACACAAAUGGCAGCAUCACCCGGCACUGGGAGUGCCAGGAAUGUGUAAUUUAAACAAAGUUUGAGGGGUUUCCCUAACUCUCCAUACCUCUCUUUAGUUCUUUUAUUCCUUCCCCCCCAGCGAAGUACAACUGAAAAAGGCCUGAAAAUUGGUCUUGCCCUUAAAAAGGGACCAAAUCUCCACAGUCCAUUUGUUUCCGAGCACACCUGUUCAUCUCACCAGUGUGAGCAGGUCAAAAAGGAAAAAAAAAAACCUUGCCAAAAUUGGGGAUCAGUUCAGAGCAGCUGUGCAGCAAACACCUGUCCACUCUGAACCGCACCAGAAGAUUGAAGCUUCUUUCAUGUGUUACAGGCCAUUUAAUAAUCCAGCAACUUACAGUGUUUGGCUGCUACCAUGCUGAGGUGAGUAUAAAUAAAUUGGUAUCCCCUUCACUAAUCCUCUUAGGGACCCAGUUUGCGGGAAGAGUUCUCACAGAAAUGGAGUGAGAGCCAUUUUGCAGAGAGAAGCUGGAAAACAGAAAGGAAGAAUGAAUUUAAUCAUGGACACGGGUUCAAAGCAGACCUUGGUAGGUGCACAGUUGGAGCAGAAAGCAGAGUGCAGACAAACUAUGAUGAUUUUUUUUUCUGAAAUGAAUUGGAAUUAGAGGUUCAAAGGAGAAAACACAUAGGGGAAGGGAGGGUCAGCCAGAGGGGAUGCUUUAGGGACUUAAGCAUUAACUAUAAAACCUUGAGGUGUUUUUGAGACAAGUCAGUAACUUCACUACAGACCAACUUAAAUCUUUUCUUCUGUAGGAGAACAAAUAGAAUUGGUAAUUUUACUGCACCAACACCAUUUUGGAAAUGUUUGUAAAGAUACCAGUCCUGCCUCAGCUACAUGGGCAGCAUACGUGAGGUGAGAUGAGAAGAAUUUUAAGAAACAAUACCACAUCUUCAAGGGAGUAAAAAAUAUUUGCCAAUAUAAAUGAAGAAUUCUAACAGUGAUUGAGGAAAGGUGCAAAUUCAUGGUGUGGGGCAUAUCCGUGGCAAAUAAAGGUUGGGUGAAGUGUCAUGGUUUGGGCAUGACCAGAACAGCCCUCUAACUACCAAGCGAGGAGCUGGACAAUCUAAGGCUUCUAAUUUGAACUGCCCUGUCUUGUACUGCAUUGUCCAAUUCCACACCAAGGCAGUUUUUCACCUCUUCCUACCCUGCUUCCCCAUAUAAAAAACCAUCACAUCAAAGCUUACCACAUCUGCAGAGAGUUCUGAGGUCCUUGGAAGAAAGCUGCUCCGUCCAGAUUACUCAUUAUCCUCAACCCUGUUAGUCGACAAAGAGGAUGCCGUAUGGUUGAUGGUCAUAACACUCCAUUUCAUCCCCAGUAAGUCCUUUUAACCCAACCCACCCAUCAGCUCUCACCUUCAAACCCAAGAAGGUCUAUUCUGACAGUGACUCAGCAUAGAGAGGGGAUGGUUGUAUUUUUUCUACCCGACUCCAAUUCUGCUAACAUGUUUCUAAAAGACUGUUGAGCUCCAAAUCUUUCAACCUCUAUAAGAUAAUGGAGGACAAUUAAAAUAAUACAGUUGUUAUUUUAUGGACAAAGCCACAUUUAUUUAUGGACAAAGCCAUAAAACAAUUUAUCCUAAGGUGAGAAAAGCAAGGAAAAAGCCAGAUGAGGUGGAGUUGUUCACCUCCAGGCAUGAGAGUCCUGGAAUUCUGCAUCAUUCCGUGCCUUAUUUAAAACCAAGUUUGGGAAAAUGGGAAGGGUUCAACAAAAGGUCAGUGGAUGUAACAGAGGGAUUUAAAAGAAAGGUUACAGAGAUUAAUUCAUUCACUAUCAAAGAAAGAGCAUGAGAAGCAGGAAUGCAGUACCUGGAGUUAUGUGUGUUUUGUCCAUGGGGAGUUCACAAUCUGCUUUCAAAUGUGAGCUCUUCUGUACAUACUGGAUUUAACCAAACUCCAAAACUCAAGACGAAACUUGAACUUGUUUGGAUGAAGUCACGCACUAAUGUUUAACAUCCACUCCUGCAUGAUUUGCCAUUUCCAUACCACAUCAAGCACCUGAAAACCCUCGUAUUUCACAUGGCUUCUGGUCUACCAGGAGUUUCGCAUAAGGCUUGAUUCACAUAAAACAUGACCAAAGCUCCAAGAAACUCACUAAAAUUUCAGAUAAAUCUAAUCAUUUUUGAGCUGGUGGUAAUACUCCUUCAGAUCUGAGUUCUCAUACCAAAAGUCUGACAAAUUUUCAGGUAUUUCAGUUACUAGCUGAUGGAGCUUUAUUAGUCUGUUAACCUAUGAUGAACAUUUAAUGCUUUUUAUUUAAAUUUGUUUGAAAUUCAAAUAGAAUCAUUGCAUGAAAGAGGUGAUGUCCCUUAAUUAAUCAACUCUUCUUUUUUUCCCCUCUUUCCCUAAAAGUCGCUAAAAGUAAUACACAGACUGAGACUACUCAAUUAGAAUCUAAAUGACUGAACCCAGAUCCAACGUCAGGAACAGGCACAAAGUUUAGUGACAUUUUGGGAAUCUGACCCAGCAGGAAGAGUAGAAAAUUAGAUUAAAAUUAGAAAUCCAUGAGGCUAAAGCAGAGCUAGAGCGAAUUAUAUUUCAAUAGGCAAAAAGUGUACGGGUCACACUGUACCGAGAUGGAAAGGCUGAGCCUGCCUGCUGCAGUCCAGAGAUCUAUUUCCCUCUCCUCCAUGAACCCGCUGUGGAUCCUCAGUCUGCACCCAUUUUUUCCCUGCAUAAAACUAAAAUAAGUAACGUAUCUAUUUCACAUGAGAAAGAAAUGACACUGAGCCAUAAUUAAUGUUUGUAGAGAUCCCUGAUAGGUUAUAAGGAGCGGAAGAACCUCAGAGCAUAGUCAUCCUACACAUCCCCCAGACCUCCUGUCACAGCCUUUUUCACCAGCAAUGACUUUCUUUUUAAAGAGAGGCUGGAAUUAUUUCAAAGAUAAACAAAAAUUUGUUUUCCAGGUGUUCUUGUACUCCAGCUAUGGCCCACACUUGCCACAAUUUGAAAAAAAAAAUUAAACAAAGGGGCAUAUUUCUCCCAACAAAAAAAAUAUAUAUAUAUAUUUGUCUCAUCUAUUGCUUAAGAGUUAAACCAAAAGGUAGAACACCAAAAUAUUUUUGGUGGUGGUGACAGUGGUGAGAAUUCAUAAGGUCUGUUCCUAUUCCCAGCCCUGUCGUUUGACGUGCUAAUUGGCUUGGGCGAGUUUCUCCAUCUCACUGUGUUCCCUCUCCUGCUUGCCUUAUCUGUUUAGACUGCGGGCUCCUGGGGACAGGGAGCCUCUUCUCAAAGGGCAUCUACAGGAUGCCAAACCAUUUAGAUCCCGCUGUCAGAGAAAUAACAGGCUUGGGAACCUGAACACAGGGGAAGGCUGAAUGCAAGUUCUGUUGCCCUUACCUCUGGUCAAACUAGACACAGAGCUCUUAACGUACCAUAACUUGUUUUCACUGGUGUUGACAAUACUAAAAAUUAGAAGGCCGCAUAUCAGGAGGCACGUGACAGAGAGCACGAAUGUCAGAAUGUGGGGAAGAUGCAGCAAUGUCUGAGGACUUACGUUUGGGCCAGCAGACACCGCUCAGUCUCUGCAUGCCAGAAAUAGCAGCGGGACGCAAGCACAGCAGCCAGUCUCCCCACUCCUGGUGCCAGUCUGUACUUCUGCAUCACUGAACAUUGCAAUGCAGGCUCUGUUACAUCCUAAGUUUAAAUUCAGUUGUUUUUACAACACAGAGACAGUGUAACAUUUGUAUCAGGUAGAAUAUGAGGAAAACAAAUAGAACAAUCUGAAUAUGAGGUUACUUAACCUAUUAUGAUAAUAAAUGACAUUCUUUAAACAGGAUUUUCAAUGUAUAGUAACAUCCUUUUCAAGUUGAUUGUGUUCUUAUCAGAGUAGUAUCUGAUUGUAAAUAUUGUCAGUUUUAAGGAUGUAUAGCUAAUGAAUGUAUAUGUCAGCAUGGCAGCAGUCCAUAUGAAAUCUAUCUUCAUAUAGAUAUACAGUAUGCUCAUUUGCAAUUCCAACAUGACAUACAACAUGGCAGACUGAACAAUUCACAUAUGAUCUGCACCUCUGUCUUUCCUUCUGCGUAAGAAGGACCUCUAUUUAAUAGACAGUGAGUAAAAACAAAGAAAAAUAAGCGACUCAUCAGAGAUCCCAUAGGAAGUCUGGUGCAGAACUUCAGGAUUUGCACCAACGGCUUAAUCAAAGAAAUAAAUCGUUCCACGAUAAUGGUAGAGGCUGUGCACAGUAGCCUUCUCCCCAUGAAUAAUAAAACAAGACAAGCCCCACGAGCUGAGCACAAACAAGAAUCCUUCACACUGGAGAGGACUGUAAAAUUACAAAGCUAAUUCACCUGAUGCCCGAGAGAAAUCUGAACUCCUGUUUCCCAGGAGCCAGGCACGAUAGUGAACACCCACUCCUGGGUGCCUGCAGCUGCAGAGCGCCAACAUUCUGAGCCUAGUGCACAGAGGAACCCUUCCCAAACUAACUUACACUGCGAUGGCUGGUUAGCAACACCUAAGUUUUACAGCCAGAUAGAUUCCAGCUCUGUGCUAGGAGGGGUUGUCCACAUGCAACCAACUGCAGCAGUCAGUCCCACGUCAUUAUUUGAUCACAUUCCUUCUCAAUUACCAUUUUUUUUAACAACGAAGAGACAAUCUAGCAAUGGAAACCCAUUCUUUGAACAACUCCUGCCAUUUUUCUCAGAUGUAAACUACUGCUAUGUAAGCCAUUCCCAAUUAAUAACGGGCCCCCAUGGAAAAGCCACUGCCUGUCUACUGAUUUCAUUUCCUACAUCUUCUCUUGUUAAAAUCACAAUUCAACUCUCCAAAACGCAAGGGCAAAAGAUCCUUUGUUUCAUCUUCACAAGAUGACAGUGUUUUUUCCCUUGCCAUUUUCUUGCAGGAAGAUAUAUUAGCACUACAUUUGCUCCUCCAUGCGGUGGGAUUUCUUAAAUAAAAACGUAUGUUAUAUAUGGAUGGACUUGGAACUGGAGCUGCAUUAGCCUAUUAACUAUCCACAUUUGCUUCAGACUUGGCCAGCCACCUAGAAAACCUGCCAAGACCUUUCUGGCAGCCUUUUCCCAACAGUUCCAGGAAAACAUGGAAUAUUCAAAGAAUUUUAGGGCCUCCCGGCUUCGUUUGUCACCACUCUCCUUGCCCACUUAUUACUAAAUCACAGGCAAAUUGCUCUAAUGCCCUAUUAAAGAUUUAAAAGCGGCCUUCUCCACAGCGGGGUAUACGAGGACAAACCCACGCUCGCACGGCCGCUGUCUGUGCUCAGGCAGGCCGUGAGGCCUCGCAGUGAGGAAGGGGACUGCCUGACCAACUCCAAAGUUCACGACUGAAUUCUCCCAUGUUAGGAGAUGUUAAAGCUCUCUCAGACACCCAGACAAAGGAGAGAUUCGUUUUCUCCUCAGCGUUACGCCGACAAAUUGCCGUUGAGGUUUCGUGUGCCUGCGUCGUACAGGCCGCAAACAAAUGGUGCGUUGCACCAGGACUCACUCACUGCCCCAUGGGCCUCAGGGCACUGCUUGACCAAUGCCACAGGGACAGGCUGGAGCCCCAUUGCCUACAGCUUGCCUCGGAGCCAUCUUAAAGCCUCACAGCAACCAGGUGGCAUGAUUCUACACCAAGAUUCAGAGCAGGAUUCACGUGCACUGCAACUGCAAUCCUCUGCUUUGCAAUCUAAGCCAGGAUCACAGCACAACAGCAAAAAGAAAGGAAUCCUGCUUUCGCGUGCAUGAACUAAGCUAUUCCUUCAGCCCCAUCCACUGAAGAAGGAAGAGACUCCAGGUCUCUAAUUUUGACAUGAAGUUCUGAGUAAUCCUUUAGGAAAUACAGCCACCAGCAUAGGGCCCCUGAUGAUUUAUUGCAGCACUACAGUGAGAGCUCACUGACCGGUGCCAUGUAUCGUAGAACCCUACAAACAGAAGUGAUUCAGCAGCCAAACUGCAUCAUUACCAACACAGCAAGCAGCAGACACUGAUUUUAUUUUUUCCACUAAACCUACACUACUUAAUUUCUGAUUCAGUAACUAUUCUCACAUACAAAUGAAGGGAAACACGUGACUGAAAUAUCUUAGUUCCCUUAAUAAUAAGUUCUCCUUUCACAUUUCAAAAGCCACUGGGAAGGCAAUUUCUAAAAUCAACUCAAACCACAAGAUCUGUAGCAGAUAGCAAUUGUGCCUCGCCUUCUCCCCUUCCCAUUUCCUUCCUGUUCUUCCUCAUUCUUUUUUUUAAGAUCCUGUCUCCAAAUCUAACAACUUCACUUAUGGGAGGAAAUAGAAAGCCAAGGGGAAGCUGUGGCAUUUGUCAGACUACAAACAGCGCUACUGCAAACCACUCUUUGAGCCACAACUGCUAUUCCUCAUCAGACGAGAUGAGAAGCCACUUCAAACACAAGGAAAAAACCGAACUCUUUAAAAUACACCCACAUCAGGGGCAUUAAUCCAGGAAUGGGUUUGACCUUCUGCUUGCAACAAUUAUUUAAACUCACUAAGGCCAAAGAACACAGACUGUUUGCCUACAGCAUUCAGGGACUGAAUGGAGUGACCCCAAACCUCAUACCAAGCUGAGAGCCACAGAUUUCCAGGCAGCAUGAUUCAGAAGAGACAGCUUCACCUGCCUCUGUGUGCUUUACUGUACAUUGGUCACACAAGCCUUCCCCAUCGCACACAGCAGCUGUGAGGGACUGCAGGUGGACCAUGCUGUUGGGUAACUAUUAUCAAUAUUGCUCUAUCAACCCUUCCUUCCCACUUGUCAGUAUGAACUACGUGUUUAAUAAUUUGCAAGAGACACAUGCAGAUCGGGGCAGAAUGCAAACUUCUAUAACAAACCUGCUCCAAGUGUGACAAGUGUUGGUGGCUCUGCACAGGCAAGAGCUGUCCUUCCCACUGGUUCCUUUCUGGUUCUGAACUGCUGCACUUCAUUCAUUCUAAGCCUUGAAACAUGAGGUCUAAAUUCAGCUCUGAAGUUAUCAUCAUGAAUUAGCAUAAUUUUGCAUAUGCUUAUUAAAAACUUCAGUACCGAACCUGUUCUAGACUUGCAAACUUCUUGGUCCCAUUAACUUCUAAAAGCAAUUAGGUUCCUUUUUAAUUAAGUACUGGUGAAAAAGAAUUGCCUUUUAAAACAUUUUCAAUUUGUCACCAUUUGCUUUCACCGCGUGUCUCCUUGUACUCACUUUGCAAGACUACAAGAAUUUCUCACUCUACCUCCUCAUUAUUUCCUUUCUUUUCAUUAUGAUGUAAAUUUGUUUUCGUUUCUAUUGGGAAUGGUUCCACUAUGGCGAUUUUGGAUAUCUCCGUGCUUAGGCCCAUUUUUGCUGGCAUGUUUUUGAACCACUCAGGCUUGGUAGCACAGCUCCUGCUCUGCAUGCCUCACCGUUUUUGGUCCCAGAAAUGCAGACAGCACUCAGUUGAAUUUCAUGUCAAUACUGUGCAAGGGUGCAUCCACGCUACAUUUAUAACAAGACCAAGGUCUAGAAUGCUCAAAAAAGCUCCCAUUGAUGGCUUGAGCUCUGAAUUGGCGUUGGAUUUAGGAACAAGGCAACAAGGACUGAUUGCCUAUCAGAGACUCAAGGAGGAAAAUGCAAAAGCAAAAAAAGGAAAAAAAAAACCAGUCUGUCUUUACCAAAUGUCUGCCUGACUGGUUAAGGCUUUUUUGGACGCUGUCAGUUGCAUGUGUAAAAAAUGGCCCAUUCACAAAAAUACACUUACACUACAAUUGUUAGACAUGACAUUUACACGUCACUGUUAAUUAUAAAUGACUUGAUCCUGACAUUUCAUUAAUACAUUAUGAAAGCCAUAAUGAAACCCUAUGAGCCGUGUGUCACACCUGUAACAAAGACAAGCUUUACAGAAAUCACAGUCAUGUCACCAGACCUUGGCAAAGGGUGGAAGGGGAAACCGGCAGUGAGAUGACUCACACUUGGAGUGGGUUUAUCCUCAGCAGCCUGAAAGGGACAGGGGGAAGCCCUGCACCCCAACAUUCGCUCCUCUGCAGCGUGGUGCAAUUGUUCCAUUACCUGAACACAGGAAUCCAUGAGAAUGUAGAUGGAAAAUGGAAAUCAAGGACCCUACGUUGGUCAUGCCUGCCCUGUCUUUAAACUGUCAUUUUAGACAAGGGUAGAGCACCUAACUGGAGACACAACUGUUUUAUGCAGAGGUAGAAGGAAGCAGGGAGAGAUGGAAGUAAGUGGGAGGCACUGUGUUGAACACCGAAUUUCAGAAUCUUUCCCUAUCUGCCCCAGAAACCUGAUUCUUGAACUUAUUUAACCAAGAAACAGGGCCAUGACAUUGCACAAAGAGGCUAAUUUCACAUGUAAAAAUCUGAUUUGCUUCGGGAGAAUACAUUUUAUAUUAUGAAUCUAUAAAGCUAAAUAUAUGCACCUGGGACUGCCUGGAGAUCAGUGGAGUCAGGGCAACCAGAAGUCCUGUUUUGGUCAAAAAAAGAAAAAUGUGAGAAAAGAAAUCGUUUCCCCCGCCUCAAUAAAAUGCUUUGGAUCUUUUGGGCUAUACAAAAUCUCCAACCCUUGGAAGUUUUUAUCAAAAAGUUCAAUGCUGGCAGCCCAACACCAUGCAUCCAGGAGUUUGGCUGUGACUGGAGGAUCUCAAAAACUCACUCUGGAAGUGCUGAAUUUCAUCUAGUUUCAUACCUAAGCUGUAAAUCUAUUGCAAAUCUAUGAUAAGGUGAAAGUGAGAACGAGAAGAAAAAAGGUGGUCAAAAAGAGACGUGUGCUCAGAUCUCUGCUCUGGCCUCAAGCUGUUCAUUUCACAUAGACGAGUGUCUGAAUACGGAGCUGGUCUCUACCACCUAAUUCUUCUAUUUUCCAGUUGCACUGUAAUCAAUAUCUGUAUCUAAUGGAAAGGAGAUAUUUUUCCCUUAUAGGUUAUACUUUGUGACUCAAACACAGACAAAAAGAACUUCCUCCUUCAGCAAUUUGCAACUUCAAAAGAAGAGAAGAGACCAUUUCUGAGGUCCAGGCUUUGAAUCUCUGUAAUGAAAUUGUCUUAUUUUUAACUGUCUGAGCAGCUUUCAAGCAGAAGCGUGUUAGAAUUCAUAUUAAUUUGUGCAGUACCCUAUCAUCAUCAUAAUUUAGCUCACAAGGUUGCUGUGCUUGGAAUUCCAGUUAUGACAUGAAUUCUAUACAUUUUAUACAGAUUUAUAAAUGGCAUCAAUAGAACACUUAGGGCCUUAUUCAUUAAACAAUGAGUCAUUCUGGCAUUCCAUUCUAUUUCAUCCCUGUUCUUGCAAAACUUUUAUGUAUAAAUUUGACUGUACUUAAUGCAUCUGAUUUAGCAGCAGAAGUGUUGCAGCAUAGUUUCAGCUGGGUGUGGAAGCAGAUGAAAGGCAUUGUUUAAGGAAAAAAAAAAAGAAAGAAAGAAAGAAAAAAAAGAUCCCUCCAACAGUGAAAGUUUUUGAAUUUCAGUUUCCUUUCUAAAGGAUGAGCAUUCAAGGCCCAGGAGACAGCCCUGCCCAGGCUUCUCGCUGCCACACGUUGGCCCAUCAGACAGCUGUGAGGCAGCUCAGAAGGUGCUUGUGGGACUGCAUGCAAUCAAAUCCCACUAUCUGUGGAUAAGCAAAGUUCCUCCUUCUUCAUGACUGUUGGCUGGCACCUUUUACAACCAUCAUAGCCAUGUGAAAACACAGAAACGAGAAGAUUUGCAAUAGUGCGCUGUUUCAAGUAAUACCUUGUUGCCCAGCAAACCAAGAAAUGACUACUGACUACAACACCUUAUUAAUUAUUCUUUAAAUAAAUCAGUGGUGUUGAAAGAGAUAUGGCUAAGCCACAAGAGGCCCCAAUACAUCCCUUAGUAAGCAGUUUACAACCGUGACAUCAGCAAAUCCUAAUAACGAUAGUGCAGGACCACAACAAGUAGCUUUCAGAAUAACUUCCCUAGUGACCUAGAACCAAAGUAAGACCCGUUACCCAUCUGUGAGGAACCUAUAUCACUAACAGUGACUAGCAGCAUGUCUACCUAGCAAAAUAUAGGACAAUUUUUUGGUAAAUAUCAGCUUAAUUUGCGUAAAGCACAUAAAAUUGCAAUGAAGUCACAGUGAGAUGUCUUCAGGUUGCAUGCUGGCUACCAGUCAGUGGGAAUCUGUCCAAACUGUUCUCAUUCCAACCACCUGCUCCAGAUAAACCUACACAUACUACAAACUGCUCCCCAGCUUAUAGUUCGGUCACUUCAGAACUAUGCCUAUUUUGGGUCUUAGUAAGCCACAGUAAAUUUGGAAUCCAUUUCACUACAUAUUCUCUACGCUAUCUACCAAGCAAUUACCACUCCAAGAAACGCACAACACUAUUUACACUCAUUGCCCAUAACAGAGAAUAGGGAUGUGUGCUCAAACAAAGUGCACCAUCCCAUUCUCAUUAGUUCUCCCACCAUGAUAUUUCUAGUACUUCCCUUUGUACGUCAGACUUAAAAGGACAAAAAUCAGAUCAAAGUUUAGAUUCCGUUAUCAAAGGACAAACAAUUUUCUAGGGGGUGGACUGUUUCAUUUUCAUUUUACAUACCAAUGGAAAUGUUCUCUGAAAAACAGUUACUGUCUCUCCUACUGUUCACAGGAAUAACUGAAUAAAAACUGGGAACGGAGCAGCAAUGGAAGAGAAGGAAAUUAGGACACUUCUGUCUGUUCAUUGUUCAAGCAGGGAGAAACAAGACUGGCAAUUAAAGGAACCGUUCAGGACUAGACACCUUCCUUUUGCUUCCUCCUCUUCUAAUCUACAGCUCAUGAGCUGCUCCUUUACUCAUUGCAAAAGGUCCGUAAUUGUAACACUGCCACAUUCUCCUGGAAAUCUACUUAAAUGGCAUAUGAUAGAAGCCAUAUGAUAGAAGCUUAAUUACAUAGAGGGCAUAUGGAAGGCAUAUGAUAGAAGGGCAUCCGAGGACAUAUGAUGGAAGUCUAAUUAAUUGACAAUACAUUCCUCUCAUCAGGGGGAGAGCUGGAAUGCUGCUUUGUUCGGAAGAAAAAUAUGCACACUGCAUUAUGUUUAUUGUUAACUCCACCGUACCACUGACCAUCCUCCUUCUUCAUUGUUACCUCCUGUUCCUUAGAGCAGAUAGAUUAUUUGAUUUACAUAUCCAUCUGGCACUAAGUUUGAUAGCCACGAGUAUGUGUGUUAGUCCAUAUACUCUUCACUUUUCAACUUUACAAAGUACCCUUAUGCCUGUAUGAAGCAGGUCUACAAUUCUGCCACCGAAAAGGAAAACAGGCUGUUCUUAUUUGGGAAUCAUUAUCAUUAAUAUGUGAUGUUUUUCCUAGAGAAGCACCAAACAGGUAAAGAAUCGACCAUUGCGGAGUGGUGUCCACUAACUGUAUGCUGGGUGUGAGUCAGCACAGUUUGUGGGUUUACAUCAGUUGAAAGUGUGCACUUCCAGCUGCAACAAGAUCUAUGGGGCAGAGAAAUAAAGUAGCCUAAAGCAUAUACACAGCAGCUGUCCUAAAUGAAACUGAUGCGAUGGAGAAGCAAACCACCUUUACAAGAUAUGACCAGAAGCACCAGUCUUUGAAAUGCCUACUUUAAUUGUAAAAGCCUAGGAAAAACACCUUGAAAACCACCAUUUUAGCUAACUGUAAUCAUUAAUGGAGAUUCCCUAUGAACAGCUCUCCUGGGGACUGUGUAGAUUUAGGUACUUUCACACAAACCCUUACCGGUUUUAUCUGGAAGCAUCAGUGCCAGCCUCCUACCUUUCCAAGAGGCAAGCAGUGCCAGCUCCCACUCUGCUGCUGGC
ensembl:lncRNA